rnacentral:rRNA from 1 species
ACGAACGCUGGCGGCGUGCUUAACACAUGCAAGUCGAGCGGUAAGGCCCUUUCGGGGGUACGACGAGCGGCGAACGGGUGAGUAACACGUGGGUGACCUGCCCUCAGCUCUGGGAUAAGCCCGGGAAACUGGGUCUAAUACCGGAUAUGACUCCAUGACGCAUGUUGUGGGGUGGAAAGCCUUGUGCGGCUGAGGAUGGGCCCGCGGCCUAUCAGCUUGUUGGUGGGGUGAUGGCCACCAAGGCGACGACGGUAGCCGGCCUGAGAGGGCGACCGGCCACACUGGGACUGAGACACGGCCCAGACUCCUACGGGAGGCAGCAGUGGGGAAUAUUGGACAAUGGCGAAAGCCUGAUCCAGCGACGCCGCGUGGGUGAAGAAGCCUGCGGGUUGUAAAGCCCUUUCAGUGGGGAAGAAAAGCCUCGAGCUACACCUCGGGUCUUNACGUACCCAUAGAAGAAGNACCGGCUAACUCUGUGCCAGCAGCCGCGGUAAU